rnacentral:rRNA from 1 species
UACAGAGGGUGCAAGCGUUGCUCGGAAUUAUUGGGCGUAAAGCGCGCGUAGGCGGUUACUCAAGUCGGAUGUGAAAGCCCUCGGCUUAACUGAGGAAGUGCACCCGAAACUGAGUAGCUAGAGUACUAAAGAGGAUCGCGGAAUUCCCGGUGUAGAGGUGAAAUUCGUAGAUAUCGGGAGGAACACCAGUGGCGAAGGCGGCGAUCUGGGUCGAUACUGACGCUGAGGUGCGAAAGCGUGGGGAGCAAACAGG